rnacentral:rRNA from 1 species
GACGAACGCUGGCGGCGUGCUUAACACAUGCAAGUCGAACGGAAAGGCCCUGCUUUUGUGGGGUGCUCGAGUGGCGAACGGGUGAGUAACACGUGAGUAACCUGCCCUUGACUUUGGGAUAACUUCAGGAAACUGGGGCUAAUACCGGAUAGGAGCUCCUGCUGCAUGGUGGGGGUUGGAAAGUUUCGGCGGUUGGGGAUGGACUCGCGGCUUAUCAGCUUGUUGGUGGGGUAGUGGCUUACCAAGGCUUUGACGGGUAGCCGGCAUGAGAGGGUGACCGGCCACAUUGGGACUGAGAUACGGCCCAGACUCCUACGGGAGGCAGGAGUGGAGAAUAUUACAGAAUGGGCGGAAGCCUAAUGCAGCAACGCCGCGUGCGGGAUGACGGCCUUCGGGUUGUAAACCGCUUUCGCCUGUGACGAAGCGUGAGUGACGGUAAUGGGUAAAGAAGCACCGGCUAACUACGUG